rnacentral:lncRNA from 1 species
CCCCCCCCCCCCCACACUCUUUCAUAUCCCCAACCUUCCCUUCUCGCUCUCUCUGUUUCCUGCUCUCUCUCCCUCCUUGUGGCCCUUCUAGCUGGCUCUGCCGGGGCAGCUGCAGAAGCUGGGCUCCCUGGUGAGUGGGGUGAAGGUUGAGACUCUGUGGAGCUUGCCCUCUGACAUCCUGUUGUCCUCGCUGCCUGACAUCGCCCUGCACACCCCCGGCUUCAACCCCCCACAGGCCAACACCAUCACCACCAAACUCUGGGUACGGCCUUAGAGGGACACACCAACACUGACCCCCAUCCUCACAAACAGCGACAUGCUCACUCAUACUAAAUGAAGACAAUCGACAAGGUACACAGUAACGUGGCUUCAGCCGUACGCUGCUACUCUUGGCUCAGUGGGAGGUAUGUUUACAAGGCUCUAUCAGUAUGCAUGCAUGACCAUAACCAAUGGAGAGUGAACAGAGAGGAGGAGAGAAAGGUGGAGUGUGGAGGGGGACCACAGCUGGCAUGCCCAGGUGUACCCAGGAUCCUUGCCCUGCCUGGCAGUCAGAUGGGGGUGAUGUGGCCCUGUCCCAGCUGGAGCUGUAUGCUCCAUAAGGACCAGAGCCAGGACUCACCAGAGGUGACUGGCUGGUUGGAUAAGGUGGAGCCCCUGCUCCACAGCACCCCUCUACUCAGUGUGCUGACCAGGGCUAGUCUGCUGUUGACCAACAGGACCUUGGCAGGAAGACGAGCCUGGAACACUCAGCAGGCUAAAACUCUUUUUAAAGAAGCAGUGAAGACCAUGCCCAAUCUUUCCACUGAGACGUUUCUUGCCCUUGGAAGCAUUGCCCAAGGUGUAAGCUACACAGCCCUGCGACAGCUCUUCCGGGACAAGCCAUCAUUUUCCUCAAUGCGGAGUGUCCUUGCAUUCAAGAAAGAGCAGUCUGUUCCUCUCAUUCCUCACUGAAAAAGUGCAUCAGCUGUACUACUUUGACUUCUUCUCUGAGCUGCUGGGAGAGUUUGGCGCUCAGAUCGCUCUGGCCCUGCCGUGAGUCGGUCUUACUGCCAUUAAUCAUCACUACAGAUGGUUUGAGCAUCAACAAUGCAUCACUGUCAACUUUGUGUGUGUGUUCCUGUGUGUGUGUGCAUGCUCUUGUCUGUGUGCAUUUGUGGUGUGAGCACUAUUAAGAAGUUCCCUGCUGACAUGGAUACUUUCAGUGACUCCCAUCACUUCCUGCUCCUACCCAGUACAAAACAGGAUAUUCUGGUGGACAAGAUGGAGCAGAGACUUGGCAUGUACACAGGAGAGUUCACUGAGGAUGAGUUCCGCUCACUGGGCAUCAUGGCGACCUAUGUAGUGGAUGGGGUGUUUGUGCAGCUGGUGCCGAGCUUCUUUGUGGAGAGCCUGGAGUUCCUCAGAGUUCUGCUAUAACAGCAGCAAGAGGGACAUCGUCACACAGAUCCUACAGGAGCCAGGCACCUUCGGCCCCGUUCAGAACUGGACCCCUGAGACACUCAAUCAAGUGGACAUCCCAAAGAUACACUGCAGCAGAUUCCCCAGUUCUGUGGCUGGGCCAUGUGAGGCUGGCCUGUUCAGAAGAGGCUUUAACGGGACUGCUGAGCCACAGCCUGGCUUUUGGACCCAUAAGCUCCUGGAGCCCUGAGGUCUUCAUUGAGGUUGGAGCACUGUGUAAUGUACAUGAACACACACCUUUUGUAAUGUACAUUACACGCCUUUUGUUGUUUUGCUACCACAAAUAUGUCUAGUGCCUGAAAUUAGUUUCAAAUCCUCUUAUAACUGCAGCUGGCCUCCCAGAUAUGGCCAUGUCAUCUUUGGUGAAGGUUGAAGGACUUACACCAUUCUGGCUGUAAGUGUGCGGAUUCAAAAUGCCUAUGAUUCAAUAAGACAUGUCAGUUUAUCUUCCAUGUUUUGUAUUGCCACCUAUCAAAUUGUUGUUUUUCUUUGUGUUCAUGUGAAUUGUCCAGAUCAGCAUGUUCUCCUAUAAACAGCGCUUGCUUUUGUCACGUGUGCAGCUAUGUCUAUUUUUUUUAACUAGGCAAGUCAGUAAAAGCUUAUUUUCAAUGACGGCCUAGGAACAGUGGGUUGUUCAGGGGCAGAACGACAGAUUUUUCCUUGUCAGCUCGGGAUUCGAUCUUGCAAACUUCGGUUACUAGUCCAACGCUCUAACCACUAGGCUACCUGCCGCCCGAAAUGGUGCUCAACGUCUGGGGUGACAAACCUGUUGACUUCCGUGGCAUUUCAUCCGGGCUGGCCCUGUGCCCUAGUCCUCUCUGUCACCUUCUGGGACUGCUGAUGGUGCUGUUAGUUUCUGCUCUGUAAUGGCCUCCCCUUCUGAUGUGUAACCCCCUCACCCCCAAUGGGCCACGAGGACUCUCUCCCACACAACUACAAUGUUAAACAAUACGUGUAUUAUAUUUGAGUAGCCCUGCAAGCCUAUUGUAAUGGAUGGUUAUUUAUUGAUAUCAAAUUGGUCACAUACACAUAUUUAUCAGAUGUUAUUGCGGGUGUAGCAAAAAUGCUUGUGUUCCUAGCUCCAACAGUGCAGUAAUAUCUAACAAUACAAACAAAUCUAAAAAUAAAGAGUGGCAUUGGCUAAAAUACAGUAGAAUAGAAUACAGUAUAUACAUAUGCGAUGAGUAAAGCAGUAUGUAAAUGUAACAGUUUUGCUUCCGUCCCCUCCUUGCCCCGAACCAGGGACCCUCUGCACACAUCAACAACUACCUCCCACGAAGCAUCGUUAUCUAUCACUCCACAAAAGCCACGGCCCUUGCAUAGCAAGGGGAACAACUACUUCAAGGUCUCAGAGCGAGUGACGUCACCGAUUGAAACGCUUUAAGCGUGCACCCCGCUAACUAGCUAGCCAUUUCACACCGGUUACAUAAACAUUAUUAAAGUGACCAGUGAUUCCAUGUCUAUGUAUAUAGGGUAGCAGCCUCUAAGGUGCAGGGUUGAGUAACUGGCUAGUGAUGGCUAUUUAACAGUCUGAUGGCCUUGAUAGAAGCUGUUUUUCUGUCUCUCGGUCCCAGCUUUGAUGCACCUGUACUGACCUCGCCUUCUGAAGAGAUAUAUUUGCUAUUGGCCUAUUCUCUGAAUGAAGAAAAAAAUAUUUCUGCAUUUAUUUAUUGCACAUUGCCGUGUUGUAGUCUUCAGUUUAGGCUGACAAUUAUUUUGUUAGGUUUAAGGUUGAAUAAAAUUUUAUUUUAAUGAUUAAAUGUAAUUGUUUUAAAUGGAAAGUGCAGUGAUUUCUAUUAUUUGAGAAUUAAUAUGUUUCUAAAUUAUGUUUUGAAAUUCUUGUCUACCUGUAAAGUAUUUUGGCAACAAUUUACAUGGUGUACUUUAUAAAGGGUAUGUUAAUGGUUUAUAAGUAGUCCAGUAGAAUACUUUCUAAAGUUGUUAAGGGUUACCAAUAUUUCUGUAACACCAACAUAAUCUAGCCUAAAUAACACUCAUUGCAAAUCCUUUUGGGGUUUUUAUUCCAAGUAUUGUAAUUGCUGUGAGUUUUGUGUGAAUACUCAUGCAUGUUUUUUAAUAAAGAACUUCUACAUUGUAUUCCUUUAAUUUCGAUUUUUCUUUUGUCA